rnacentral:lncRNA from 1 species
CCGGUGGUGCAGACUUUGAGGAACACUAGGAGACGGGAAUGUUUUAAACAGAGCUUUAGAUAGAGCUUUGCGAAACAUAUGUACAUUAUGGAGUAAAACACAACAUUCAGAAGGAUUUUACUGGUCAAGAGGUUUUAAACUUUCAGAAAUAUGAUUUGCUAGGGGAAUAUUCAAGUGAUGCUGUAAUCAAAGAAAUACAACCCAAGCCAAGCAUAGUUUCAUGAAGUUACAGGUUCUGUGUUUGUUUUCUCGUGAUGUACCACAGUGGAACUGUCAAGAAUCACCCCCAAAUGCUUGUCCAGAAACUUCUUACACUCAACACAGCUGUUUUCGUGCCUUUUUAAAAUUUGUUUAAAAAAUUCUGCAUCAUCAGCCUUUGUUACUCUUGUUCAUUUCUUUCUUUAAGCACUUAAAGGUCCAAGACAGUCCUUAUGAAAAAUUGCUCCUAGAAACUAAAGAUUCCUACUGG